ACCCAGGGCGAAUGCGCCUAUCGAGAACUUGCUCGUCGGCCAAGAACUAAAGUUGGGGUAUCGAACAACGAUUAGAGACCGUUGUAGUCCCAACCACAAACUUUGCUGACUGGCUUUGUGCGAGGUCGAGCUUCGGCGCAUAUCUCGUGCGGGGCCUACGCAAAAGCAUACUCUUCGAGUCUCUUG
rnacentral:rRNA from 1 species